AAUCGAAGCAGUGAACUUAAGCCCCAGUAAACGGCGGCCGUAACUAUAACGGUCCUAAGGUAGCGAAAUUCCUUGUCGGGUAAGGUCCGACCCGCACGAAAGGCGUAACGAUUUGGGCACUGUCUCAACAACAGACUCGGUGAAAUUGUAAUUCCGGUGAAGAUGCCGGAUACCUGCGACAGGACGGAAAGACCCCAUGGAGCUUUACUGUAGCUUGACAUUGGGUCUUGGUACUACAUGUACAGGAUAGGUGGGAGGCUUUGAAACCAGGACGCCAGUUUUGGCGGAGCCAUCCUUGGGAUACCACCCUUGUAGUACUGGGACUCUAACCAUAGGCCAUGAAUCUGGUCUUGGGACACUGUCAGGUGGGCAGUUUGACUGGGGCGGUCGCCUCCCAAAAGGUAACGGAGGCGCUCAAAGGUUCUCUCAGUACGGUCGGAAAUCGUACGUAGAGUGUAAAGGCAAAAGAGAGCUUGAUUGCAAGACAUACAGGUCGAGCAAGGAUGAAAAUCGGACUUAGUGAUCCGGUGGUUCUGCGUGGAAGGGCCAUCGCUCAACGGAUAAAAG
rnacentral:rRNA from 1 species